GGGUCGGUGCCCGAGCGGACAAAGGGAGCAGACUGUAAAUCUGCCGGCUUCGCCUACCAUGGUUCGAAUCCAUGCCGGCCCA
rnacentral:tRNA from 1 species